rnacentral:tRNA from 1 species
GCAGGGGUAGCCAAGCCAGGCUACGGCGUGGGACUUGAGAUCCCAUGGGGCUUUGCCCCGCCUGGGUUCAAAUCCCAGCCCCUGCGCCA